rnacentral:rRNA from 1 species
UUCCGGUACUAGUCCGGUUCGGUUAGGUUAGUCGACCUACGUUAGUUACUAUUUGAUUUUCUCACCUUCUAAAGAACCGUAAUGCCAUUAAUUUGGUGUUACGGGGAAUUAGGACUGUUACCUUGAAAAAUUAGAGUGUUUAAAGCAGGCUCACGCUUGAAUACAUUAGCAUGGAAUAAUGAAAUAGGACAUCCGAUUCUAUUUUGUUGGUUUCUAGGAUCGAUGUAAUGAUUAAUAGGGAUAGUUGGGGGCAUUAGUAUUCAAUUGUCAGAGGUGAAAUUCUUGGAUUUAUUGAAGACUAACUACUGCGAAAGCAUUUGCCAAGGAUGUUUUCAUUAAUCAAGAACGAAAGUUAGGGGAUCGAAGACGAUCAGAUACCGUCGUAGUCUUAACCAUAAACUAUGCCGACUAGGGAUCGGAUGAUGUUAAUUUUUAAUGACUC